CCCUUAGAUGUUCUGGGCCGCACGCGCGCUACACUGAUCAGUGCAACAAGCAUCCGUCCUUGGCCGACAGGCCCGGGCAAUCUUUGAACGCUGGUCGUGAUGGGGAUAGACUUUUGCAAUUUUUGGUCUUCAACGAGGAAUUCCUAGUAAACGCAAGUCAUCAACUUGCAUUGAUUACGUCCCUGCCCUUUGUACACACCGCCCGUCGCACCUACCGAUUGAAUGGUCCGGUGAAGCCUCCGGAUUGGCGCGCACCUCGGUGCCGCCGAGAAGUUGGCUAAACCUUACCAUUUAGAGGAAGGUGAANUCGUANCA
rnacentral:rRNA from 1 species